rnacentral:lncRNA from 1 species
UGGUCUACCAGAGAGGGCACAUGUGCCUCAAUUGGCCUAUAGCAUAGUGGCUCAUUAUCCUUCCACCGCUGGUGGCGGGCGGUACUCGCUGCUCUGUGAAGCCAGCCUCACGCAAUGUCCGCCACUUUAGGUGUUGGGAUGCAAAGGCUUUCGCCAAGGCAUCCGAAACCCACUACACAACUUGGAAUGGGUGGUCCACAGUUUGUAGCAAUAGACCCAGGCACAUGCACCACAAUUGACAUUCACACUACCUUAUUGCCCCCGCUCGGGUUACAAGCAAUCGCUACUUGCUCAGCGAGUGAGGGGGUUCAAGACUACCUAUUUAAGGUGGUGUUGUACUGUAUGAGCCGGCGGUGUGGUAUUUACCAACUACAAAUAGUGUCAUGCAUGUGACUUGCUAGUUGACAAUGUCUAUUGUCGAGCUAGAUGUGGGCUAUAGAUGAAGCACAUUAGGAUAUAGUAGGCCUAUUUUGUUUUUUGUUGUUUUUGGGCCACUAUGGACUUUAUGUUGAUGUUGUGAAAUUUUUUCUUGUGUUUCCUCUUCCUACGAUGUGGAAAGUGGGUGCUUCAGAGAAGAAAGAAAGAGUGGCUAGCAUUGAUUUUACGUCAUACCAUUGAGAACACUAAUCAGAAGCAGAAGCAACAAUAUUUCAUACAUAUACAACACUUGUAAUCCAUAUAAACAACUUUCCUUUCAAAUAUAAUAUAAACCACAUGAUUUAUAUCCUGGGUCGGCUAUCUCCACAAAGGGCAAGAAAACGCUCCAAGUUUGUAGUAUAGCACUAAAAGUGUCGACUCUCACGAUUUCUUCCCGACAUAUGCAAACUAGACAGUAAUCACAUAAAAUAAAGAAAUAUGUGUUAACACAAACUUAUAGCAUGUAUUUCAACAUAUAGAUUUUUGAUUAUUAUGGUAGAUUAUAUAAUAUAGGGGUUCCCGAAAAAAUACAUAAAAAACAAGAGCAUUAAAAUUUCCUUUUCAGAUCUGGCUAACUGGUAAAGGGAGUUGGAGUAUCUGAGUUUCCAAAUUUGGGACGUCGCUCUAUAGAAGGAAUAUAAAUACAUUGGAAAAAAUUCUACAAGGAAAGGUUUAAUACAAGUAGCGCUAAGAAAAACUCAAUGAGGCUUUGGUCGCUUGGUCACAAAACUUGAGACAAGAAACACGAAGACACCAAGGUAAUUAGUAUGAGAGUUUUCCAAAUUUGGUGUCUUGAUGUAGAAAAAAUAAAUAUAUGACAAACUUGUUUUUUCGCAAGGCAUGGAUAAAUAAGUGGGGGUGAGCAAUAAAUUUCAUCCUAGAUUUAGAAGGAAUAAAUAUAUCACUAAAUACGUUUUUUCACAAUGCCAAGUUAAUCAGGUGGGAGCGAGAAACAAUUCUAGCGAGGCUAGGUUGUACUAGCCCAAAACUACAUACAACAGAGGAAAAAUAAAGAAAAUGAUGGUCUACCAAAUAGGGCGCAUGAGCCUUAAGGUGCACCUAGAGGGAAGUAGAAGAAAUAAAUAUAUAAUAGCAUAUGUUUUUCGCAAUGCAAGGUAAAGUGUAGAUGUGCUCUAACUGGGCUUAGAUUGCAGCGACACAUUAUGCAUCUACAAGGCUUGGUUGCACAUGGAAAAAGAUAGAGAGAGAAAUGUAGACGCAGGACCGGGAGAAAAACAUUCAAUGAGACGUGAUUGCACGGACAUAGAACUAGAUAUAAGACAAGAGUUAAAGAAAAAUAAAGGAACUAAAUUUUCUUCUGCACACUAAGCAUGAAUGGAGUUGUAGUAUCUGAGAUCAAAAUUUAAUUUAUUCCAAGAUGCAGAACAAAAACGUGAUACUCGUAAUGGUUACAUAGGAACAAAAGUAGAUAAGAAAAAUAGCAAAAAGAUAGUGGUCUACCAGAGAGGGCACAUGUGCCUCAAUUGGCCUAUAGCAUAGCGACUCAUUAUCCUUCCACCGCUGGUGGCGGGCGGUACUCGCUGCUCUGUGAAGCCAGCCUCACGCAAUGUCCGCCACUUUAGGUGUUGGGAUGCAAAGGCUUUCGCCAAGGCAUCCGAAACCCACUACACAACUUGGAAUGGGUGGUCCACAGUUUGUAGCACUAGACCCAGGCACAUGCACCACAAUUGACAUCCACACUACCUUAUUGCCCCCGCUCGGGUUACAAGCAAUCGCUACUUGCUCAGCGAGUGAGGGGGUUCAAGACUACCUAUUUAAGGUGGUGUUGUACUCUAUGAGCCGGCGGUGUGGUAUUUACCAACUACAAAUAGUGUCAUGCAUGUGACUUGCUAGUUGACAAUGUCUGUUGUCAAGCUAGGUGUGGGCUAUGGAUGAAGCACAUUAGGAUAUAGUAGGCCUAUUUUGUUUUUUGUUGUUUUUGGGCCACUAUGGACUGUAUGUUGAUGUUGUGAAAUUUUUUUCUUGUGUUUCCUCUUCCUACGAUGUGGAAAGUGGGUGCGUCAGAGAAGAAAGAAAGAGUGGCUAGCAUUGAUUUUACGUCAUACCAUUGAGAACACUAAUCAGAAGCAGAAGCAACAAUAUUUCAUACAUAUACAACACUUGUAAUCCAUAUAAACAACAUUCCUUUAAAAUAUAAUAUAAACCACAUGAUUUAUAUCCUGGGUCGGCUAUCUCCACAAAGGGCAAGAAAACGCUCCAAGUUUGUAGUAUAGCACUAAAAGUGUCGAUUCUCACGAUUUCUUCCCGACAUAUACAAACUAGACAGUAAUCACAUAAAAUAAAGAAAUAUGUGUUAACACGAACUUAUAACAUGUAUUUCAACAUAUAGAUUGUUGAUUAUUAUGGUAGAUUAUAUAAAAUAGGGGUUCCCGAAGAAAUACAUAAAAACAAGAGCAUUAAAAUUUCCUUUUCAGAUCUGGCUAUCUGGUAAAAGGAGUUGGAGUAACUGAGUUUCCAAAUUUGUGACGUAGCUCUAUAGAAGGAAUAUAAAUACGUUGGAAAAAUUCUAUAAGGAAAGGUUUAAUACAAGUAGGGCUAAGAAAAACUCAAUGAGGCUUUGGUCGCAUGGUCACAAAACUUGAGACAAGAAACACGAAGACACCAAGGUAAUUAGUAUGAGAGUUUUCCAAAUUUGGUGUCUUGAUGUAGAAAAAAUAAAUAUAUGACAAACUUGUUUUUUCGCAAGGCAUGGAUAAAUAAGUGGGGGUGAGCAAUAAAUUUCAUCCUAGAUUUAGAAGGAAUAAAUAUAUCACUAAAUAUGUUUUUUCACAAUGCCAAGUUAAUCAGGUGGGAGCGAGAAACAAUUCUAGCGAGGCUAGGUUGUACUAGCCCAAAACUACAUACAACAGAGGAAAAAUGAAGAAAAUGAUGGUCUACCAAAUAUGGCGCAUGAGCCUUAAGGUGCACCUAGAGGGAAGUAGAAGAAAUAAAUAUAUAAUAGCAUAUGUUUUUCGCAAUGCAAGGUAAAGUGUAGAUGUGCUCUAACUGGGCUUAGAUUGCAGCGACACAUUAUGCAUCUACAAGGCUUGGUUGCACAUGGAAAAAGAUAGAGAGAGAAAUGUAGACGCAGGACCGGGAGAAAAACAUUCAACGAGACGUGAUUGCACGGACAUAGAACUAGAUAUAAGACAAGAGUUAAAGAAAAAUAAAGGAACUAAAUUUUCUUCUGCACACUAAGCAUGAAUGGAGUUGUAGUAUCUGAGAUCAAAAUUUAAUUUAUUCCAAGAUGCAGAACAAAAACGUGAUACUCGUAAUGGUUACAUAGGAACAUAAGUAGAUAAGAAAAAUAGCAAAAAGAUAGUGGUCUACCAGAGAGGGCACAUGUGCCUCAAUUGGCCUAUAGCAUAGCGACUCAUUAUCCUUCCACCGCUGGUGGCGGGCGGUACUCGCUGCUCUGUGAAGCCAGCCUCACGCAAUGUCUGCCACUUUAGGUGUUGGGAUGCAAAGGCUUUCGCCAAGGCAUCCGAAACCCACUACACAACUUGGAAUGGGUGGUCCACAGUUGGUAGCACUAGACCCAGGCACAUGCACCACAAUUGACAUCCACACUACCUUAUUGCCCCCGCUCGGGUUACAAGCAAUCGCUACUUGCUCAGCGAGUGAGGGGGUUCAAGACUACCUAUUUAAGGUGGUGUUGUACUCUAUGAGCCGGUGGUGUGGUAUUUACCAACUACAAAUAGUGUCAUGCAUGUGACUUGCUAGUUGACAAUGUCUGUUGUCAAGCUAGGUGUGGGCUAUGGAUGAAGCACAUUAGGAUAUAGUAGGCCUAUUUUGUUUUUUGUUGUUUUUGGGCCACUAUGGACUUUAUGUUGAUGUUGUGAAUUUUUUUUCUUGUGUUUCCUCUUCCUACAAUGUGGAAAGUGGGUGCGUCAGAGAAGAAAGAAAGAGUGGCUAGCAUUGAUUUUACGUCAUACCAUUGAGAACACUAAUCAGAAGCAGAAGCAACAAUAUUUCAUACAUAUACAACACUUGUAAUCCAUAUAAACAACAUUCCUUUAAAAUAUAAUAUAAACCACAUGAUUUAUAUCCUGGGUCGGCUAUCUCCACAAAGGGCAAGAAAACGCUCCAAGUUUGUAGUAUAGCACUAAAAGUGUCGAUUCUCACGAUUUCUUCCCGACAUAUACAAACUAGACAGUAAUCACAUAAAAUAAAGAAAUAUGUGUUAACACGAACUUAUAGCAUGUAUUUCAACAUAUAGAUUGUUGAUUAUUAUGGUAGAUUAUAUAAAAUAGGGGUUCCCGAAGAAAUACAUAAAAACAAGAGCAUUAAAAUUUCCUUUUCAGAUCUGGCUAUCUGGUAAAAGGAGUUGGAGUAACUGAGUUUCCAAAUUUGUGACGUAGCUCUAUAGAAGGAAUAUAAAUACGUUGGAAAAAUUCUAUAAGGAAAGGUUUAAUACAAGUAGGGCUAAGAAAAACUCAAUGAGGCUUUGGUCGCAUGGUCACAAAACUUGAGACAAGAAACACGAAGACACCAAGGUAAUUAGUAUGAGAGUUUUCCAAAUUUGGUGUCUUGAUGUAGAAAAAAUAAAUAUAUGACAAACUUGUUUUUCGCAAGGCAUGGAUAAAUAAGUGGGGGUGAGCAAUAAAUUUCAUCCUAGAUUUAGAAGGAAUAAAUAUAUCACUUAAUAUGUUUUUUCACAAUGCCAAGUUAAUCAGGUGGGAGCGAGAAACAAUUCUAGCGAGGCUAGGUUGUACUAGCCCAAAACUACAUACAACAGAGGAAAAAUGAAGAAAAUGAUGGUCUACCAAAUAUGGUGCAUGAGCCUUAAGGUGCACCUAGAGGGAAGUAGAAGAAAUAAAUAUAUAAUAGCAUAUGUUUUUCGCAAUGCAAGGUAAAGUGUAGAUGUGCUCUAACUGGGCUUAGAUUGCAGCGACACAUUAUGCAUCUACAAGGCUUGGUUGCACAUGGAAAAAGAUAGAGAGAGAAAUGUAGACGCAAGACCGGGAGAAAAACAUUCAAUGAGACGUGAUUGCACGGACAUAGAACUAGAUAAAAGACAAGAGUUAAAGAAAAAUAAAGGAACUAAAUUUUCUUCUGCACACUAAGCAUGAAUGGAGUUGUAGUAUCUGAGAUCAAAAUUUAAUUUAUUCCAAGAUGCAGAACAAAAACGUGAUACUCGUAAUGGUUACAUAGGAACAUAAGUAGAUAAGAAAAAUAGCAAAAAGAUAGUGGUCUACCAGAGAGGGCACAUGUGCCUCAAUUGGCCUAUAGCAUAGCGACUCAUUAUCCUUCCACCGCUGGUGGCGGGCGGUACUCGCUGCUCUGUGAAGCCAGCCUCACGCAAUGUCCGCCACUUUAGGUGUUGGGAUGCAAAGGCUUUUGCCAAGGCAUCCGAAACCCACUACACAACUUGGAAUGGGUGGUCCACAGUUUGUAGCACUAGACCCAGGCACAUGCACCACAAUUGACAUCCACACUACCUUAUUGCCCCCGCUCGGGUUACAAGCAAUCGCUACUUGCUCAACGAGUGAGGGGGUUCAAGACUACCUAUUUAAGGUGGUGUUGUACUCUAUGAGCCGGCGGUGUGGUAUUUACCAACUACAAAUAGUGUCAUGCAUGUGACUUGCUAGUUGACAAUGUCUGUUGUCAAGCUAGGUGUGGGCUAUGGAUGAAGCACAUUAGGAUAUAGUAGGCCUAUUUUGUUUUUUGUUGUUUUUGGGCCACUAUGGACUUUAUGUUGAUGUUGUGAAUUUUUUUUCUUGUGUUUCCUCUUCCUACGAUGUGGAAAGUGGGUGCGUCAGAGAAGAAAGAAAGAGUGGCUAGCAUUGAUUUUACGUCAUACCAUUGAGAACACUAAUCAGAAGCAGAAGCAACAAUAUUUCAUACAUAUACAACACUUGUAAUCCAUAUAAACAACAUUCCUUUAAAAUAUAAUAUAAACCACAUGAUUUAUAUCCUGGGUCAGCUAUCUCCACAAAGGGCAAGAAAACGCUCCAAGUUUGUAGUAUAGCACUAAAAGUGUCGAUUCUCACGAUUUCUUCCCGACAUAUACAAACUAGACAGUAAUCACAUAAAAUAAAGAAAUAUGUGUUAACACGAACUUAUAGCAUGUAUUUCAACAUAUAGAUUGUUGAUUAUUAUGGUAGAUUAUAUAAAAUAGGGGUUCCCGAAGAAAUACAUAAAAACAAGAGCAUUAAAAUUUCCUUUUCAGAUCUGGCUAACUGGUAAAGGGAGUUGGAGUAUCUGAGUUUCCAAAUUUGGGACGUCGCUCUAUAGAAGGAAUAUAAAUACAUUGGAAAAAAUUCUACAAGGAAAGGUUUAAUACAAGUAGCGCUAAGAAAAACUCAAUGAGGCUUUGGUCGCUUGGUCACAAAACUUGAGACAAGAAACACGAAGACACCAAGGUAAUUAGUAUGAGAGUUUUCCAAAUUUGGUGUCUUGAUGUAGAAAAAAUAAAUAUAUGACAAACUUGUUUUUUCGUAAGGCAUGGAUAAAUAAGUGGGGGUGAGCAAUAAAUUUCAUCCUAGAUUUAGAAGGAAUAAAUAUAUCACUAAAUAGGUUUUUUCACAAUGCCAAGUUAAUCAGGUGGGAGCGAGAAACAAUUCUAGCGAGGCUAGGUUGUACUAGCCCAAAACUACAUACAACAGAGGAAAAAUGAAGAAAAUGAUGGUCUACCAAAUAUGGCGCAUGAGCCUUAAGGUGCACCUAGAGGGAAGUAGAAGAAAUAAAUAUAUAAUGGCAUAUGUUUAUCGCAAUGCAAGGUAAAGUGUAGAUGUGCUCUAACUGGGCUUAGAUUGCAGCGACACAUUAUGCAUCUACAAGGCUUGGUUGCACAUGGAAAAAGAUAGAGAGAGAAAUGUAGAUGCAGGACCGGGUGAAAAACAUUCAAUGAGACGUGAUUGCACGGACAUAGAACUAGAUAUAAGACAAGAGUUAAAGAAAAAUAAAGGAACUAAAUUUUCUUCUGCACACUAAGCAUGAAUGGAGUUGUAGUAUCUGAGAUCAAAAUUUAAUUUAUUCCAAGAUGCAGAACAAAAAUGUGAUACUCGUAAUGGUUACAUAGGAGCAAAAGUAGAUAAGAAAAAUAGCAAAAAGAUAGUGGUCUACCAGAGAGGGCACAUGUGCCUCAAUUGUCUUAUAGCAUAGCGACUCAUUAUCCUUCCACCGCUGGUGGCGGGCGGUACUCGCUGCUCUGUGAAGCCAGCCUCACGCAAUGUCCGCCACUUUAGGUGUUGGGAUGCAAAGACUUUCGCCAAGGCAUCCGAAACCCACUACACAACUUGGAAUGGGUGGUCCACUGUUUGUAGCACUAGACCCAGGCACAUGCACCACAAUUGACAUCCACACUACCUUAUUGCCCCGCUCGGGUUACAAGCAAUCGCUACUUGCUCAGCGAGUGAGGGGGUUCAAGACUACCUAUUUAAGGUGGUGUUGUACUCUAUGAGCCGGCGGUGUGGUAUUUACCAACUACAAAUAGUGUCAUGCAUGUGACUUGCUAGUUGACAAUGUCUGUUGUCAAGCUAGGUGUGGGCUAUGGAUGAAGCACAUUAGGAUAUAGUAGGCCUAUUUUGUUUUUUGUUGUUUUUGGGCCACUAUGGACUUUAUGUUGAUGUUGUGAAAUUUUUUUCUUGUGUUUCCUCUUCCUACGAUGUGGAAAGUGGGUGCGUCAGAGAAGAAAGAAAGAGUGGCUAGCAUUGAUUUUACGUCAUACCAUUGAGAACACUAAUCAGAAGCAGAAGCAACAAUAUUUCAUACAUAUACAACACUUGUAAUCCAUAUAAACAACAUUCCUUUAAAAUAUAAUAUAAACCACAUGAUUUAUAUCCUGGGUCGGCUAUCUCCACAAAGGGCAAGAAAACGCUCCAAGUUUGUAGUAUAGCACUAAAAGUGUCGAUUCUCACGAUUUCUUCCCGACAUAUACAAACUAGACAGUAAUCACAUAAAAUAAAGAAAUAUGUGUUAACACGAACUUAUAGCAUGUAUUUCAACAUAUAGAUUUUUGAUUAUUAUGGUAGAUUAUAUAAAAUAGGGGUUCCCGAAGAAAUACAUAAAAACAAGAGCAUUAAAAUUUCCUUUUCAGAUCUGGCUAUCUGGUAAAAGGAGUUGGAGUAACUGAGUUUCCAAAUUUGUGACGUAGCUCUAUAGAAGGAAUAUAAAUACGUUGGAAAAAUUCUAUAAGGAAAGGUUUAAUACAAGUAGGGCUAAGAAAAACUCAAUGAGGCUUUGGUCGCAUGGUCACAAAACUUGAGACAAGAAACACGAAGACACCAAGGUAAUUAGUAUGAGAGUUUUCCAAAUUUGGUGUCUUGAUGUAGAAAAAAUAAAUAUAUGACAAAUUUGUUUUUUCGCAAGGCAUGGAUAAAUAAGUGGGGGUGAGCAAUAAAUUUCAUCCUAGAUUUAGAAGGAAUAAAUAUAUCACUAAAUACAUUUUUUCACAAUGCCAAAUUAAUCAGGUGGGAGCGAGAAACAAUUGUAGCGAGGCUAGGUUGUACUAGCCCAAAACUACAUACAACAGAGGAAAAAUGAAGAAAAUGAUGGUCUACCAAAUAUGGCGCAUGAGCCUUAAGGUGCACCUAGAGGGAAGUAGAAGAAAUAAAUAUAUAAUAGCAUAUGUUUUUCGCAAUGCAUGGUAAAGUGUAGAUGUGCUCUAACUGGGCUUAGAUUGCAGCGACACAUUAUGCAUCUACAAGGCUUGGUUGCACAUGGAAAAAGAUACAAAAAGAAAUGUAGACGCAGGACCGGGAGAAAAACAUUCAAUGAGACGUGAUUGCACGGACAUAGAACUAGAUAUAAGACAAGAGUUAAAGAAAAAUAAAGGAACUAAAUUUUCUUCUGCACACUAAGCAUGAAUGGAGUUGUAGUAUCUGAGAUCAAAAUUUAAUUUAUUCCAAGAUGCAGAACAAAAAUUUGAUACUCGUAAUGGUUACAUAGGAGCAAAAGUAGAUAAGAAAAAUAGCAAAAAGAUAGUGGUCUACCAGAGAGGGCACAUGUGCCUCAAUUGGCCUAUAGCAUAGCGACUCAUUAUCCUUCCACCGCUGGUGGCGGGCGGUACUCGCUGCUCUGUGAAGCCAGCCUCACACAAUGUCCGCCACUUUAGGUGUUGGGAUGCAAAGGCUUUCGCCAAGGCAUCCGAAACCCACUACACAACUUGGAAUGGGUGGUCCACUGUUUGUAGCACUAGACCCAGGCACAUGCACCACAAUUGACAUCCACACUACCUUAUUGCCCCGCUCGGGUUACAAGCAAUCGCUACUUGCUCAGCGAGUGAGGGGGUUCAAGACUACCUAUUUAAGGUGGUGUUGUACUCUAUGAGCCGGCGGUGUGGUAUUUACCAACUACAAAUAGUGUCAUGCAUGUGACUUGCUAGUUGACAAUGUCUGUUGUCAAGCUAGGUGUGGGCUAUGGAUGAAGCACAUUAGGAUAUAGUAGGCCUAUUUUGUUUUUUGUUGUUUUUGGGCCACUAUGGACUUUAUGUUGAUGUUGUGAAAUUUUUUUCUUGUGUUUCCUCUUCCUACGAUGUGGAAAGUGGGUGCGUCAGAGAAGAAAGAAAGAGUGGCUAGCAUUGAUUUUACGUCAUACCAUUGAGAACACUAAUCAGAAGCAGAAGCAACAAUAUUUCAUACAUAUACAACACUUGUAAUCCAUAUAAACAACAUUCCUUUAAAAUAUAAUAUAAACCACAUGAUUUAUAUCCUGGGUCGGCUAUCUCCACAAAGGGCAAGAAAACGCUCCAAGUUUGUAGUAUAGCACUAAAAGUGUCGAUUCUCACGAUUUCUUCCCGACAUAUACAAACUAGACAGUAAUCACAUAAAAUAAAGAAAUAUGUGUUAACACAAACUUAUAGCAUGUAUUUCAACAUAUAGAUUGUUGAUUAUUAUGGUAGAUUAUAUAAAAUAGGGGUUCCCGAAGAAAUACAUAAAAACAAGAGCAUUAAAAUUUCCUUUUCAGAUCUGGCUAUCUGGUAAAAGGAGUUGGAGUAACUGAGUUUCCAAAUUUGUGACGUAGCUCUAUAGAAGGAAUAUAAAUACGUUGGAAAAAUUCUAUAAGGAAAGGUUUAAUACAAGUAGGGCUAAGAAAAACUCAAUGAGGCUUUGGUCGCAUGGUCACAAAACUUGAGACAAGAAACACGAAGACACCAAGGUAAUUAGUAUGAGAGUUUUCCAAAUUUGGUGUCUUGAUGUAGAAAAAAUAAAUAUAUGACAAAUUUGUUUUUUCGCAAGGCAUGGAUAAAUAGGUGGGGGUGAGCAAUAAAUUUCAUCCUAGAUUUAGAAGGAAUAAAUAUAUCACUAAAUAUGUUUUUUCACAAUGCCAAGUUAAUCAGGUGGGAGCGAGAAACAAUUCUAGCGAGGCUAGGUUGUACUAGCCCAAAACUACAUACAACAGAGGAAAAAUGAAGAAAAUGAUGGUCUACCAAAUAUGGCGCAUGAGCCUUAAGGUGCACCUAGAGGGAAGUAGAAGAAAUAAAUAUAUAAUAGCAUAUAUUUUUCGCAAUGCAUGGUAAAGUGUAGAUGUGCUCUAACUGGGCUUAGAUUGCAGCGACACAUUAUGCAUCUACAAGGCUUGGUUGCACAUGGAAAAAGAUACAGAAAGAAAUGUAGACGCAGGACCGGGAGAAAAACAUUCAAUGAGACGUGAUUGCACAGACAUAGAACUAGAUAUAAGACAAGAGUUAAAGAAAAAUAAAGGAACUAAAUUUUCUUCUGCACACUAAGCAUGAAUGGAGUUGUAGUAUCUGAGAUCAAAAUUUAAUUUAUUCCAAGAUGCAGAACAAAAAUGUGAUACUCGUAAUGGUUACAUAGGAACAAAAGUAGUUAAGAAAAAUAGCAAAAAGAUAGUGGUCUACCAGAGAGGGCACAUGUGCCUCAAUUGGCCUAUAGCAUAGCGACUCAUUAUCCUUCCACCGCUGGUGGCGGGCGGUACUCGCUGCUCUGUGAAGCCAGCCUCACGCAAUGUCCGCCACUUUAGGUGUUGGGAUGCAAAGGCUUUCGCCAAGGCAUCCGAAACCCACUACACAACUUGGAAUGGGUGGUCCACAGUUUGUAGCACUAGACCCAGGCACAUGCACCACAAUUGACAUCCACACUACCUUAUUGCCCCCGCUCGGGUUACAAGCAAUCGCUACUUGCUCAGCGAGUGAGGGGGGGUCAAGACUACCUAUUUAAGGUGGUGUUGUACUCUAUGAGCAGGCGGUCUGGUAUUUACCAACUACAAAUAGUGUCAUGCAUGUGACUUGCUAGUUGACAAUGUCUGUUGUCGAGUUAGAUGUGGGCUAUGGAUGAAGCACAUUAGGAUAUAGUAGGCCUAUUUUGUUUUUUGUUGUUUUUGGGCCACUAUGGACUUUCUGUUGAUGUUGUGAAAUUUUUUCUUGUGUUUCCUCUUCCUACGAUGUGGAAAGUGGGUGCGUCAGAGAAGAAAGAAAGAGUGGCUAGCAUUGAUUUUACGUCAUACCAUUGAGAACACUAAUUAGAAGCAGAAGCAACAAUAUUUCAUACAUAUACAACACUUGUAAUCCAUAUAAACAACUUUCCUUUAAAAUAUAAUAUAAACCACAUGAUUUAUAUCCUGGGUCGGCUAUCUCUACAAAGGGCGAGAAAACGCUCCAAGUUUGUAGUAUAGAACUAAAAGUGUCGAUUCUCAUGAUUUUUCCGACAUAUACAAACUAGACAGUAAUCACAUAAAAUAAAGAAAUAUGUGUUAACACGAACUUAUAGCAUGUAUUUCAACAUACAUAUUGUUGAUUAUUAUGGUAGAUUAUAUAAAAUAGGGGUUCCCGAAGAAAUACAUAAAAACAAGAGCAUUAAAAUUUCCUUUUUAGAUCUGGCUAUCUGGUAAAAGGAGUUGGAGUAACUGAGUUUCCAAAUUUGUGACGUAGCUCUAUAGAAGGAAUAUAAAUACGUUGCAAAAAUUCUACAAGGAAAGGUUAAUACAAGUAGGGCUAAGAAAAACUCAAUUAGGCUUUGGUCGCAUGGUCACAAAACUUGAGACAAGAAACACGAAGACACCAAGGUAAUUAGUAUGAGAGUUUUCGAAAUUUGGUGUCUUGAUGUAGAAAAAAUAAAUAUAUGACAAACUUGUUUUUUCUCAAGGCAUGGAUUGAGAGCACCUAGAGGGGGGGGUGAAUAGGUGAUCCUGUGAAACUUGAAAACUUAAGCCACAAAACUUGGUUAAUCGUUAGCACAAUAAUUGCCAAGUGGCUAAAUAGGAAUCCUCAACAAAAUACAAUAACCAACAAAGAUCAAUCACAGAGAUGACACGGUGGUUAUCCCAUGGUUCGGCCAAGACCAACGCUUGCCUACUCCAUGUUGUGGCGUCCCAACGGACGAGGGUUGCAAUCAACCCCUCUCAAGCGGUCCAAAGACCCACUUGAAUACCACGGUGUUUUGCUUUGCUUAUCUUUAUCCCACUUGCGAGGAAUCUCCACAAAUUGGAGUCUCUCGCCCUUACACUUAAAGUUCACAAAGAAGCACGGAGUAAGGGAGGGAAGCAACACACACAAAUCCACAGCAAAAUGCGCACACACACGGCCAAGAAUCGAGCUCAAAAGACUAUCUCAAAGUUCUCACUAGAACGGAGCUCGAAUCACUGAGAAUGACAAACGAAUGCGCAAAGACUGAGUGUGGAUGAUCAAGAAUGCUCUAAGGUUGCUUGGUUUUUCUCCUCCAUGCGCCUAGGGGUCCCUUUUAUAGCCCCAAGGCGGCUAGGAGCCGUUGAGAACAAAUCUGGAAGGCCAUCCUUGCCUUCUGUCGUCGGGCGCACCGGACAGUCCGGUGCACACCGGACACUGUCCGGUGCCCGAUUUCCUUCCUUAAAUGGCGAAGCCGACCGUUGCAGAUGUGGGAGCCGUUGGCGCACCGGACAUGUCCGGUGCACACCGGACAGUCCGGUGCCCCCUUCCGACCGUUGGCUCGGCCACGUGUCGCGCGCGGAUUCCGUGGCCGACCGUUGGCCCGGCCGACCGUUGGCUCACCGGACAGUCCGGUGCACACCGGACAGUCCGGUGAAUUUUAGGCGUACGUCGCCGGUGAAUUCCCGAGAGCGGCCAGUUCGCUCGAGCCAGCCUGGCGCACCGGACACAGUCCGGUGCACCACCGGACAGUCCGGUGCCCCAGACCGAAACAGCCUCUUGGCUGUACACAGCCAACUCUUCUCUUUCCUUCUUCUUUUUGUUUCUGAUACUUAGACAAGUAUAUUAGUACACAAAACCAAUGUACUAAGACUUAGAAACAUACCUUUGCUCUUGAUUUGCACUUUGUCCAUUCAUGGGCAUAGAUUUACAUUUAAUUACUUGUGUUGGCACUCAAUCACCAAAAUACUUAGAAAUGGCCCAAGGGCACAUUUCCCUUUCAAUCUCCCCCUUUUUGGUGAUUUAUGCCAACACAACAUAAAGCAACUAGAACAAGUGCAAUAUUACUUCAAAUAAAAACUCAAAUUCAUUUUGAUUCAAUUUGGCAUAUAUGGAUCAUCCUUUGCCACCACUUGGUUUGUUUUUGCAAAUCAAACUCAAAAUCCUAUCUCUAAGUCAAAUCCACUUGUAGAGACAUAAAGAGAGGUUUUCCAUAGAAGAUUGAUUCAAGAUUCCAAAAACUCCCCCUUUUUCCCAUAAUCAACACUUCACCCCACAAGAGGCCAACUUUUGAUAAAAGAGACAAUGCAAGAGUAUUGACAAACCAAAAGCUCUAUCCUACUGUUUUCAAAGUUUCUCAAGUGGUAGCUGAUCCAUUUAUUGCUUUGGCCUUUAUUUUCUCCCCCUUUGGCGUCAAGCACCAAAACGGGAUCAAUCUUGGCCCUUUAACCCCAUUGCCUCACCAAAAUCUUCAAUUAAGAGCAAAUAGGCAAUAAGAGUUAAAAGAUGAACUUGGAAAAGUUACUCUUUUCAUCGGAGUGCAGUGGAAGUCUUGCAUGGUCCAAGUCCACCUUUUCCCUUUUAAUUCUCCUUCGAGACUAAAACAAGCAAACUCAAGCAUAUGGUUAGUCUCAAAGGGUCAAGUUGUAACACAUCUCCCCCUAAAACUGUGCAUCACUUUGCAACGGACUUGUGAGGUCCAGGGAGUGUUUGUACAACUUGAGCACCAUACUAAACAACAAAAUGCAAAAAGGAUCAUGAUCAAAAGCAUAAAUACAUGUAUGCUACAAUUCAAUCCAAGUUCCGCGAAUCUACGACAUUUAGCUCACUACGCAGCCUGCAAAAGGUCUUCUCAUCUAGAGGCUUGGUAAAGAUAUCGGCUAGCUGGUUCUCGGUGCUAACAUGAAACACUUCGAUAUCUCCCUUUUGCUGGUGAUCUCUCAAAAAGUGAUGCCGGAUGUCAAUGUGCUUUGUGCGGCUGUGUUCAACAGGAUUUUCCGCCAUGCGGAUAGCACUCUCAUUGUCACAUAGGAGUGGGACUUUGCUCAGAUUGUAGCCAAAGUCCCUGAGGGUUUGCCUCAUCCAAAGUAGUUGCGCGCAACACUGUCCUGCGGCAACAUACUCGGCCUCAGCGGUGGAUAGGGCAACGGAGGUUUGUUUCUUAGAGUUCCACGACACCAGGGACCUUCCUAAGAAUUGGCACGUCCCUGAUGUACUCUUCCUAUCGACCUUACAUCCAGCAUAGUCGGAAUCUGAGUUUCCAACCAAGUCAAAGGUAGACCCCUUUGGAUACCAGAGCCCGAAGCAAGGCGUAGCAACCAAAUAUCUAAGAAUUCGCUUCACCGCCACUAAGUGACACUCCUUAGGAUUGGAUUGAAAUCUAGCACACAUGCAUACGCUAAGCAUAAUAUCCGGUCUACUAGCACAUAAAUAAAGUAAAGACCCUAUCAUUGACCGGUAUGCUUUUUGAUCAACGGACUUACCUCCUUUGUUGAGGUCGGUGUGUCCGUCGGUCCCCAUCGGAGUCUUUGCGGGCUUGGCGUCCUUCAUCCCAAACCGCUUCAGCAGGUCUUGCGUGUACUUUGUUUGGGAGAUGAAGGUGCCGUCCUUGAGUUGCUUCACUUGAAACCCAAGGAAGUAGUUCAACUCGCCCAUCAUCGACAUCUCGAAUUUCUGCAUCAUAACCCUGCUAAACUCUUCACAAGACUUUUGGUUAGUAGAACCAAAUAUUAUGUCAUCGACAUAAAUUUGGCACACAAACAAAUCACCAUCACAUGUCUUAGUAAAAAGAGUUGGAUCGGCUUUCCCAACCUUGAAGGCAUUUGCAAUUAAAAAGUCUUUAAGGCAUUCAUACCAUGCUCUUGGGGCUUGCUUAAGUCCAUAGAGCGCCUUAGAGAGCUUACACACGUGGUCGGGGUACCGUUCAUCCUCGAAGCCAGGGGGUUGCUCUACGUACACCUCCUCCUUGAUUGGCCCGUUGAGGAAAGCGCUCUUCACAUCCAUUUGGAACAACCUGAAAGAAUGGUGAGCGACAUAUGCUAGCAAGAUACGAAUUGAUUCUAGCCUAGCCACAGGAGCAAACGUCUCCUCAAAGUCCAAACCUGCGACUUGGGCAUAACCUUUUGCCACAAGUCGAGCCUUGUUCCUCGUCACCACCCCGUGCUCGUCCUGUUUGUUGCGGAAUACCCACUUGGUUCCCACAACGUUUUGCUUGGGACGAGGCACCAGUGUCCAAACUUCAUUUCGCUUGAAGUUGUUGAGUUCCUCCUGCAUGGCUAACACCCAGUCCGGAUCUAGCAAGGCCUCUUCUACCCUGAAAGGCUCAAUAGAAGAGACAAAGGAGUAAUGCUCACAAAAAUUAACUAAUCGAGAUCGAGUAGUUACUCCCUUGCUAAUAUCACCCAGAAUUUGGUCGACGGGAUGAUCCCUUUGAAUCAUCGCUCGAACUUGGGUUGGAGGUGCCGGUUGUGCUUCUUCCUCCAUCACAUGAUCAUCUUGUGCUCCCCAUUGAUCACACUCCUCUUGAUGAACCUGUUCAUCGUUUUGAGUUGGGGGAUGCAUCAUUGUUGAGGAAGAAGGUUGAUCUUGCUCCAAUUGUUCCUGUGGUCGCACAUCACCAAUCGCCAUGGUGCGCAUAGCGGCCGUUGGAACGUCUUCUUCAUCUAAAUCAUCAAGAUCAACAACUUGCUCUCUUGGAGAGCCAUUAGUCUCAUCAAAUACAACGUCGCUAGAGACUUCAACCAAACCCGAUGAUUUGUUGAAGACUCUAUACGCCUUUGUAUUUGACUCAUAACCUAACAAAAACCCUUCUACAGCUUUGGGAGCAAACUUAGAAUUUCUACCCUUCUUUACUAGAAUGUAGCACUUGCUCCCAAAUACACGAAAGUAAGAUACAUUGGGUUUGUUACCGGUUAGUAGCUCAUACGAAGUCUUCUUGAGGAGGCGAUGAAGGUAGACCCUGUUGAUGGCGUGGCAAGCCAUGUUCACGGCUUCCGACUAGAAACACUCGGGGGUCUUGAAUUCUCCAAGCAUCGUCCUCGCCAUAUCGAUUAGUGUCCUGUUCUUCCUCUCUACCACACCAUUUUGCUGUGGUGUGUAGGGAGCGGAGAACUCGUGCUUGAUCCCUUCCUCCUCAAGGAACUCCUCCACUUGAAGAUUCUUGAAAUCGGACCCGUUGUCGCUCCUUAUCUUCUUCACCUUGAGCUCAAACUCAUUUUGAGCUCUCCUAAGGAAGCGCUUGAGGGUCCCUUGGGUUUCAGACUUAUCCUGCAAAAAGAACACCCAAGUGAAGCGGGAAAAGUCAUCGACAAUAACUAGACCAUACUUACUUCCCCCUAUGCUCAGAUAGGCGACGGGUCCGAAGAGGUCCAUAUGCAGCAGCUCCAGGGGUCUUGAAGUGGUCAUCACAUUCUUGCUGUGAUGCGCUCCUCCCACUUGUUUACCUGCUUGACAAGCUGCACAAGGUCUAUCUUUUUCGAAUUGUACGUUAGUCAAACCUAUCACGUGUUCUCCCUUUAGAAGCUUGUGAAGGUUCUUCAUCCCCACAUGUGCUAAGCGGCGAUGCCACAGCCAGCCCAUGCUAGUCUUAGCAAUUAAGCAUGCAUCUAGACCGGCCUCUUCUUUUGCAAAAUCAACUAAGUAAAGCUUGCCGUCUAAUACACCCUUAAAAGCUAGUGAACCAUCACUUCUUCUAAAGACAGACACAUCUACAUUUGUAAAUAGACAGUUAUAUCCCAUAUUGCAUAAUUGACUAACAGAUAACAAAUUAUAUCCAAGAGACUCUACUAAAAACACAUUAGAGAUAGAGUGCUCAUUAGAAAUUGCAAUUUUACCUAACCCUUUUACCUUGCCUUGAUUCCCAUCACCGAAUAUAAUUGAAUCUUGGGAAUCCUUAUUCUUGACGUAGGAGGUGAACAUCUUCUUCUCCCCCGUCAUAUGGUUUGUGCAUCCGCUGUCGAUAAUCCAGCUUGAACCCCCGGAUGCAUAAACCUGCAAGGCAAAUUUAGGCUUGGGACUUAGGUACCCAACUCUUGUUGGGUCCUACAAGGUUAGUCACAAUUUCCUUAGGGAUCCAAAUGCAAGUUUUAUCACCCUUGCAUUUUGCCCCUAACUUCCUAGCAAUCACCUUUCUAUCCUUUCUACAAAUUGCAAAGGAAGCAUUCAAAGCAUGAUAUAUUGUAGAAGGCUCAUUAACUUUCCUAGGCACAUUAACAACAUUUCUCCUAGGCAUAUUAUGAACAACAUUUCUCCUACCAACGUUCCUAUCAUGCUCAUAGAAAGAACUAGAAGCAACCAUGUCAUGAUAAACAUAUGAAUCAAAAACAUUAUAACUUCUAUUUGCAUUUCUAGUAUGUCUCCUAUCAUGAUACAUAAAAGCAUGGUUCUUUUUAGCACUACCAGCCAUAGGGGCCUUCCCUUUCUCCUUGGCGGAAAUGGGAGCCUUAUGGCUUGUUAAGUUCUUGGCUUCCCUCUUGAAGCCAAGUCCAUCCUUAAUUGAGGGAUGUCUACCAAUCGUAUAGGCAUCCCUUGCAAAUUUUAAUUUAUCAAAUUCGCUUUUGCUAGUCUUAAGUUGGGCAUUAAGACUAGCCACUUCAUCAUUCAAUUUAGAAAUUGAAACUAGGUGUUCACUACAAGCAUCAACAUUAAAAUCUUUACACCUAGUGCAAACCAUAACAUGUUCUACACAAGAGUUAGAUUUACUAGCCACUUCUAGUUUAGCAUUUAAAUCAUUAUUAACACCUUUUAAAGUAGCAAUGGUUUCAUGACAAGAAGAUAAUUCACUAGAAAGCACUUCAUUUCUUUUAACUUCUAAAGCAUAAGAUUUUUGUGCCUCUACAAAUUUGUCAUGCUCUUCAUAUAAAAGAUCCUCUUGUUUUUCUAAGAGUCUAUCCUUUUCAUUCAAGGCAUCAAUCAAUUCAUUAAUCUUUUCUACUUUAGUUCUAUCCAAUCCCUUGAACAAACUAGAGUAAUCUAUUUCUUCAUCACUGGACUCAUCAUCACUAGAAGAAUCAUAAGUGACAUUGUUUUGAUUGCAUACCUUCUUCUCCCUUGCCAUAAGGCAUGUGUGACGCUCGUUGGGGAAGAGGGAUGACUUGUUGAAGGCGGUGGCGGCGAGUCCUUCAUUGUCGGAGUCGGAGGAGAAGCAAUCUGAAUCCCACUCCUUUCCGAUAUGUGCCUCGCCCUUGGCCUUCUUGUAAUGCUUCUUCUUCUCCCUUUUGUUCCCCUUUUCCUGGUCACUUUCAUUAUCGGGACAGUUAGCAAUGAAAUGACCAAUCUUACCGCAUUUGAAGCACGAGCGCUUCUCCUUUGUCUUGGUCUUGCUUGGCUGUCCCUUGCGACCUUUAAGCGCCGUCUUGAAGCGCUUAAUGAUGAGGGCCAUCUCCUCAUUAUUUAGCCCGGCCGCCUCAACUUGCGCCACCUUGCUCGGUAGCGCCUCCUUGCUCCUCGUUGCCUUGAGAGCAAUGGGUUGAGGCUCAUGAAUAGGACCGUUCAACGCGUCGUCCACAUAUCUUGCCUCCUUGAUCAUCAUUCGCCCGCUUACGAACUUCCCCAGAACUUCUUCGGGCGACAUCUUGGUGUACCUAGGAUUUUCACGAAUAUUGUUCACCAAAUGAGGAUCAAGAACGGUAAAGGACCUUAGCAUUAGGCGGACGACGUCGUGAUCCGUCCAUCGCGUGCUUCCGUAGCUCCUUAUUUUGUUGAUAAGGGUCUUGAGCCGGUUGUAUGUUUGAGUUGGCUCCUCGCCCCUUAUCAUUGCGAACCGUCCAAGCUCGCCCUCCACCAACUCCAUCUUGGUGAGUAAGGUGACAUCGUUCCCCUCAUGAGAGAUCUUGAGGGUGUCCCAGAUCUGCUUGGCAUUGUCCAAGCCGCUCACCUUAUGGUACUCGUCCCUGCACAAAGAGGCUAGCAACACAGUAGUAGCUUGUGCAUUUUUAUGAAUCUGUUCAUUAAUAAACAUGGGACUAUCCGUACUAUCAAAGUGCAUUCCACUUUCUACAAUCUCCCAUAUGCUAGGAUGGAGAGAGAACAAGUGACUACGCAUUUUGUGACUCCAAAAUCCGUAGUCCUCUCCAUCAAAAUGAGGAGGUUUACUAAGUGGAAUAGAUAAUAACUGAGCAUUAGUACUUUGAGGAAUACGAGAGUAAUCAAAAGAAAAGUACGAAUUGACCGGUUUCUUUCUCUCGUAUUCGUUGUGGUCGUCGUCCUUUUGGGAGGAAGUAGACUCAUCGCUGUCGUAGUAGACGAUCUCCUUGAUGUGUCUUGUCUUCUUCUUCUUCCCAUCUUUGCGUCUGUGGCCCGAGCCCGAGUCGUUGGACUUGUCAUCCCUUGGCUCGUUGACGAAGGACUCCUUCUCCUUGUCGUUGAUCACGAUUCCCUUCCCUUUAGGAUCCAUCUCUUCGGGCGGUUAGUCCCUUUGUGAAGAGAACGGCUCUGAUACCAAUUGAGAGCACCUAGAGGGGGGGUGAAUAGGUGAUCCUGUGAAACUUGAAAACUUAAGCCACAAAACUUGGUUAAUCGUUAGCACAAUAAUUGCCAAGUGGCUAAAUAGGAAUCCUCAACAAAAUACAAUAACCAACAAAGAUCAAUCACAGAGAUGACACGGUGGUUAUCCCGUGGUUCGGCCAAGACCAACGCUUGCCUACUCCACGUUGUGGCGUCCCAACGGACGAGGGUUGCAAUCAACCCCUCUCAAGCGGUCCAAAGACCCACUUGAAUACCACGGUGUUUUGCUUUGCUUAUCUUUAUCCCACUUGCGAGGAAUCUCCACAAAUUGGAGUCUCUCGCCCUUACACUUAAAGUUCACAAAGAAGCACGGAGUAAGGGAGGGAAGCAACACACACAAAUCCACAGCAAAAUGCGCACACACACGGCCAAGAAUCGAGCUCAAAAGACUAUCUCAAAGUUCUCACUAGAACGGAGCUCGAAUCACUGAGAAUGACAAACGAAUGCGCAAAGACUGAGUGUGGAUGAUCAAGAAUGCUCUAAGGUUGCUUGGUUUUUCUCCUCCAUGCGCCUAGGGGUCCCUUUUAUAGCCCCAAGGCGGCUAGGAGCCGUUGAGAACAAAUCUGGAAGGCCAUCCUUGCCUUCUGUCGUCGGGCGCACCGGACAGUCCGGUGCACACCGGACACUGUCCGGUGCCCGAUUUCCUUCCUUAAAUGGCGAAGCCGACCGUUGCAGAUGUGGGAGCCGUUGGCGCACCGGACAUGUCCGGUGCACACCAGACAGUCCGGUGCCCCCUUCCGACCGUUGGCUCGGCCACGUGUCGCGCGCGGAUUCCGCGGCCGACCGUUGGCCCGGCCGACCGUUGGCUCACCGGACAGUCCGGUGCACACCGGACAGUCCGGUGAAUUUUAGGCGUACGUCGCCGGUGAAUUCCCGAGAGCGGCCAGUUCGCUCGAGCCAGCAUGGCGCACCGGACACUGUCCGAUGCACCACCGGACAGUCCGGUGCCCCAGACCGAAACAGCCUCUUGGCUGUACACAGCCAACUCUUCUCUUUCCUUCUUCUUUCUGUUUCUGAUACUUAGACAAGUAUAUUAGUACACAAAACCAAUGUACUAAGACUUAGAAACAUACCUUUGCUCUUGAUUUGCACUUUGUCCAUUCAUGGGCAUAGAUUUACAUUUAAGCACUUGUGUUGGCACUCAAUCACCAAAAUACUUAGAAAUGGCCCAAGGGCACAUUUCCCUUUCAUGGAUAAAUAAGUGGGGGUGAGCAAUAAAUUUCAUCCUAGAUUUAGAAGGAAUAAAUAUAUCACUAAAUACGUUUUUUUUUACAAUGGCAAGUUAAUCAGGUGGGAGCGAGAAACAAUUCUAGCGAGGCUAGGUUGUACUAGCCCAAAAUUACAUACAACAGAGGAAAAAUGAAGAAAAUGAUGGUCUACCAAAUAUGGCGCAUGAGCCUUAAGGUGCACCUAGAGGGAAGUAGAAGAAUAAAUAUAUAAUAGCAUAUGUUUUUCGCAAUGCAAGGUAAAGUGUAGAUGUGCUCUAACUGGGCUUAGAUUGCAGCGACACAUUAUGCAUCUACAAGGCUUGGUUGCACAUGGAAAAAGAUAGAGAGAGAAAUGUAGACGCAGGACCGGGAGAAAACAUUCAAUGAGACGUGAUUGCACGGACAUAGAACUAGAUAUAAGACAAGAGUUAAAGAAAAAAAGGAACUAAAUUUUCUUGUGCACACUAAGCAUGAAUGGAGUUGUAGUAUCUGAGAUCAAAAUUUAAUUUAUUCCAAGAUGCAGAACAAAAACGUGAUAUUCGUAAUGGUUACAUAGGAACAAAAGUAGAUAAGAAAAAUAGCAAAAAGAUAGUGGUCUACCAGAGAGGGCACAUGUGCCUCAAUUGGCCUAUAGCAUAGUGGCUCAUUAUCCUUCCACCGCUGGUGGCGGGCGGUACUCGCUGCUCUGUGAAGCCAGCCUCACGCAAUGUCCGCCACUUUAGGUGUUGGGAUGCAAAGGCUUUCGCCAAGGCAUCCGAAACCCACUACACAACUUGGAAUGGGUGGUCCACAAUUUGUAGCACUAGACCCAUACACAUGCACCACAAUUGAUAUCCACACUACCUUAUUGCCCCCGCUCGGGUUACAAGCAAUCGCUACUUGCUCAGCGAGUGAGGGGGUUCAGGACUACCUAUUUAAGGUGGUGUUGUACUCUAUGAGCCGGCGAUGUGGUAUUUACCAACUACAAAUAGUGUCAUGCAUGUGACUUGCUAGUUGACAAAGUCUGUUGUCGAGCUAGAUGUAGGCUAUGGAUGAAGCACAUUACGAUAUAGUAGGCCUAUUUUGUUUUUUGUUGUUUUUGGGCCACUAUGGACUUUAUGUUGAUGUUGUGAAAUUUUUUCUUGUGUUUCCUCUUCCUACGAUGUCGAAAGUGGGUGCGUCAGAGAAGAAAGAAAGUGUGGGUUGCAUUGAUUUUACGUCAUACCAUUGAGAACACUAAUCAGAACCAGAAGCAACAAUAUUUCAUACAUAUACAACACUUGUAAUCCAUAUAAACAACUUUCCUUUAAAAUAUCAUAUAAACCACAUGAUUUAUAUCCUGGGUCGGUUAUCUCCACAAAGGGCAAGAAAACGCUCCAAGUUUGUAGUAUAGAACUAAAAGUGUCGACUCUCACGAUUUCUUCCCGACAUAUGCAAACUAGACAAUAAUCACAUAAAAUAAAGAAAUAUGUGUUAACACAAACUUAUAGCAUGUAUUUCAACAUAUAGAUUUUUUAUUAUUAUGGUAGAUUAUAUAAUAUAGGGGUUCCCGAAGAAAUACAUAAAAAACAAGAGCAUUAAAAUUUCCUUUUCAGAUCUGGCUAACUGGUAAAGGGAGUUGGAGUAUCUGAGUUUCCAAAUUUGGGACGUCGCUCUAUAGAAGGAAUAUAAAUACAUUGGAAAAAAAUUCUACAAGGAAAGGUUUAAUACAAGUAGGGCUAAGAAAAACUCAAUGAGGCUUUGGUCGCAUGGUCACAAGACUUGAGACAAGAAACACGAAGACACCAAGGUAAUUAGUAUGAGAGUUUUCCAAAUUUGGUGUCUUGAUGUAGAAAAAAUAAAUAUAUGACAAACAUGUAUUUUCGCAAGGCAUGGUAAAAUAAGUGGGAGUGAGCAAUAAAUUUCAUCCUAGAUUUAGAAGGAACAAAUAUAUCACUAAAUACAUUUUUUCACAAUGCCAAGUUAACCAGGCGGGACCGAGAAACAAUUCUAGCAAGGCUAGGUUGUACUAGUCCGAAACUACGUACAACAAAGGAAAAAUGAAGAAAAUGAUGGUCUACCAAAUAUGGCGCAUGAGCCUUAAGGUGCACCUAGAGGGAAGUAGAAGAAAUAAAUAUAUAAUAGGAUAUGUUUUUCGCAAUGCAAGGUAAAAUGUAGAUGUGCUCUAACUGGGCUUAGAUUGCAGCGAUACAUUAUGCAUCCACAAGGCUUGGUUGCACAUGGAAAAAGAUAGAGAGAGAAAUGUAGACGUAGGACCAGGAGAAAAACAUUCAAUGAUACAUUAUUGCACGGACAUAGAACUAGAUAUAAGACAAGAGUUAAAGAAACAUAAAGGAACUAAAUUUUCUUUUGCAUACUAAGCAUGAAUGGAGUUGUAGUAUCUGAUAUAAAAAAUUAAUUUAUUCCAAGAUGCAGAACAAAAUUGUGAUACUCGUAAUGGUUACAUAGGAACAAAAGUAGAUAAGAAAAAUAGCAAAACGAUAGUAGUCUACCAGAGAGGGCACAUGUGCCUCAAUUGGCCUAUAGCAUAGCGGCUCAUUAUCCUUCCACCGCUGGUGGCGUGCGGUACUCGCUGCUCUGUGAAGCCAGCCUCACGCAAUGUCUGCCACUUUAGGUGUUGGGAUGCAAAGGCUUUCGCCAAGGCACCCGAAACCCACUACACAACUUGGAAUGGGUGGUCCACAGUUUGUAGCACUAGACCUAGGCACAUGCACCACAAUUGACAUCCACACUACCUUAUUGCCCCCGCUCGGGUUACAAGCAAUCGCUACAUGCUCAGCGAGUGAGGGGGUUCAGGACUACCUAUUUAAGAUGGUGUUGUACUCUAUGAGCCGGCGGUGUGGUAUUUACCAACUACAAAUAGUGUCAUGCAUGUGACUUGCUAGUUGACAAAGUCUGUUGUCGAGCUAGAUAUGGGCUAUGGCUGAAGCACAUUAGGAUAUAGUAGGCCUAUUUUUGUUUUUGUUGUUUUUGGGCCACUAUGGACUUUAUGUUGGUGUUGUAAAAUUUUUUCUUGUGUUUCCUCUUCCUAUGAAGUGGAAAGUGGCUGCGUCAUAGAAGAAAGAAAGAGUGGCAAGCAUUGAUUUUACGUCAUCCCAUUGAGACCAGUAACCAAAAGCAGAAGCAACAAUAUUUCAUACAUAUACAACAAUUGUAAUCCAUAUAAACAACUUUCCUUUAAAAUAUAAUAUAAACCACAUGCUUUAUAUCCUGGGUCGGAUAUCCCCAUAAUAGGAUAUGUUUUUUGCAAUGCAAGGUAAAGUGUAGAUGUGCUCUAACUGGGCUUAGAUUGCAGCGACACGUUAUGCAUCCACAAGGCUUGGUUGCACAUGGAAAAAGAUAGAGAGAGAAAUGUAGACACAGGACGAGGAGAAAAACAUUCAACGAGACGUGAUUGCACGGAUAUAGAACUAGAUAUAAGACAAGAGUUAAAUACAAAUAAAUGAACUAAAUUUUCUUUUGCACACUAAGCUUGAAUGGAGUUGUAGUAUCUCAUAUCAAAAUUUAAUUUAUUCCAAGAUACAGAACAAAAAUGUGAUACUCCUAAUGGUUACAUAGGAACAAAAGUAGAUAAGAAAAUUAGCAAAAAGAUAGUGGUCUACCAGAGAGGGCACAUGUGCCUCAAUUGGCCUAUAGCAUAGCGGCUCAUUAUCCUUCCACCGCUGGUGGCGGGCGGUACUCGCUGCUCUGUGAAGCCAGCCUCACGCAGUGUCCGCCACUUUAGGUGUUGGGAUGCAAAGGCUUUCGCCAACGCACCCGAAACCCACUACACAAGUUGGAAUGGGUGGUCCACAGUUUGUAGCACUAGACCCAGGCACAUGCACCACAAUUGACAUCCACACUACCUUAUUGCCCCCGCUCGGGUUACAAGCAAUCGCUACU